rnacentral:rRNA from 1 species
GACGAACGCUGGCGGCGUGCUUAACACAUGCAAGUCGAACGGAAAGGCCCUGCUUUUGUGGGGUGCUCGAGUGGCGAACGGGUGAGUAACACGUGAGUAACCUGCCCUUGACUUUGGGAUAACUUCAGGAAACUGGGGCUAAUACCGGAUAGGAGCUCCUGCUGCAUGGUGGGGGUUGGAAAGUUUCGGCGGUUGGGGAUGGACUCGCGGCUUAUCAGCUUGUUGGUGGGGUAGUGGCUUACCAAGGCCUUGACGGGUAGCCGGCCUGGGAGGGUGACCGGACACACUGGGACUGGAAUACGGCACAGACUCGUACGGGAGGCAACAGUGGGGAAUAUUACACAAGAGGCGGAAGCCUGAUGCAGCAACGCCGCGUGGGGGAUGACGGCCUGCGGGUUGUGAACCGCUGUCGCCUGUGACGAAGCGUGAGUGGCGGUAAUGGGUAAAGAAGCACCGGCUAACUACGUG